rnacentral:rRNA from 1 species
GAUGAACGCUAGCGGGAGGCCUAACACAUGCAAGCCGAGCGGUAUUGUUUCUUCGGAAAUGAGAGAGCGGCGUACGGGUGCGGAACACGUGUGCAACCUGCCUUUAUCUGGGGGAUGGCCUUUCGAAAGGAAGAUUAAUACUCCAUAAUAUAUUGAUUGGCAUCAAUUGAUAUUGAAAGCUCCGGCGGAUAGAGAUGGGCACGCGCAAGGAUUAGCUAGUUGGUGAGGUAACGGCUCACCAAGGCAAUGAUCUUUAGGGGGCCUGAGAGGGUGAUCCCCCACACUGGUACUGAGACACGGACCAGACUCCUACGGGAGGCAACAGUGAGGAAUAUUGGUCAAUGGGUGCAAGCCUGAACCAGCCAUCCCGCGUGAAGGACGACUGCCCUAUGGGUUGUAAACUUCUUUUGUAUAGGGAUAAACCCUACCCUCGUGAGGGUAGCUGAAGGUACUAUACGAAUAAGCACCGGCUAACUCCGUGCCAGCAGCCGCGGU